rnacentral:rRNA from 1 species
AGAGUUUGAUCCUGGCUCAGAACGAACGUUGGCGGCGUGGAUUAGGCAUGCAAGUCGAACGAGGCCAGCCCGGUAGCAAUAUUGGGCUGAGUCGAGUGGCGAAAGGGGCAGUAAGGCGUGGGUAACCUACCCUGGGGACCGGGACAAUCGGGUAACACCAGUAAAUACCGGGCGACGUAACGAGGGGGCAUCUCCUUGUUACCAAAUGAGUUUCGCCCUGGGAGGGGCCCACGUGGUAUUAGCUAGUUGGUAGGGUAAUGGCCUACCAAGGCAAAGAUGCCUAGCUGGUGUGAGAGCACGACCAGCGCCACUGGCACUGAGACACUGGCCAGACUCCUACGGGAGGCUGCAGUCGAGGAUUUUCCGCAAUGGGCGCAAGCCUGACGGAGCGACGCCGCGUGCGCGAUGAAGGCCUUCGGGUUGUAAAGCGCUGUCGAGGGGGAGGAAAGCCGCAAGGUCUGACCUAUCCCUGAGAGCACG